UAUAGAUCAACUUCCACCGCACGGAUGCUACCAUCUCAUUUUAGCUGUACUCUUCCAAAGGACACUGAGGUUGUUUCCACGCUUUUGUUACUGCAAGCAGUUCAUUGAUCAGAGCUUUCCAGGAGACCCUCUGUGAGGCGCACGAGCACAUCUCUAUUCUGGCCUAGCCACAUUUCAAGAGCUCAAUAGCCUUAUGUGGUUAGUGGCUACCAGUGAGGACAGCGCAGUAGAGGAUUCUAGCCUAUCUGGAGAGAGAAGGACACGUGGUCAACAGCCUUCCUGGAUUCAUCACGGUGGUUCAGUCCCGGAGCCUCUUGACUUCCACUGUGGCUGCCAGCAGGUUAGAAAUGUGAUGUGUACUUGAUUCAAGGCUUGGCUUCCCUUCUGCUCAGGACUCUUGGUGGCACUGGAUCUAAUACUGCAC